UCUAUACCUUUAAAACUGCCAAUUAGAAAGUGAGUUACUAGUUUUUUUCUAUAUCUUUAUGUGAAGUCAUUUAAAAAAAUAUAUGUCAAUGAUACUUUAAAAUAUCUUGAUUACACGUGUAUAUCACCCGAUGUCUUUUCAAGGCUUACCAAGAUCCCACUGCAAAAAUCCAUAUCUUGAACACAUUAUAUGUGUAUUUCGGUAAAUACGAAUUUUUUUUCAUAAGACAACAUUGCUUUAUUGGGGUCCCCCAAAAACCGUAAAUAUUUUCACAUCCUUAUUAGUACCUUAAUAUGUAUGGGUUUUUCGAAUAUUUACUACAAUGAACUUGAAUUAAUUAACAUAGUUUAAAUACAUUGAUGGUAUAUGGUGGAUAUAUAUAUAAGAUGUGUGAGACAUAGAAAAAAUAUCAUUAUCUAUUCAGAUUUUUAGUUGGCAAUUCAAAUAUGGACUUUCGCCUACCAUUGAAAUACGUUUUCUUCGCCCUGACUCUUUUGGCAUCCAAUCUUGUAUUAUCGGCCCCCAUGUCUUUAUUUUAUAUAGGUUUGGAUCCAGGACUUUACCAUAGACCUCCACCGCCACCGCCUCCUUACUAUGGCGGUGGAUUUUAUGGACCGCCACCACCUCCUCCACCACCACUGAUUUGGGGUUAAAUAGCUUUGCAUUUUGUACAUAUUUUUCUUGUACGUAUUUAUUUAAUUAAGAAAUAGUUCAGUAACAAUAAUACUAAAUAAUAAGAACUUAAAUUGUAUUCCACAAUAUAGAUAACAUCAAUAAAAAAGUUUUUUUUUUUAA